GAUUUAUUGGGCGUAAGCGAGCGCAGCGGUUCUUAAGUCUGAUGUGAAAGCCCCCGGCUCAACCGGGGAGGGUCAUUGGAAACUGGGAGACUUGAGUGCAGAAGAGGAGAGUGGAAUUCCAUGUGUAGCGGUGAAAUGCGUAGAUAUAUGGAGGAACACCAGUGGCGAAGGCGGCUCUCUGGUCUGUAACUGACGCUGAGGCUCGAAAGCGUGGGGAGCAAACAGGAUUAGAUACCCUGGUAGUCAAGGGCG
rnacentral:rRNA from 1 species